rnacentral:rRNA from 1 species
AGCGAACGCUGGCGGCAGGCCUAACACAUGCAAGUCGAACGGACCCUUCGGGGUUAGUGGCGGACGGGUGAGUAACACGUGGGAACGUGCCUUUAGGUUCGGAAUAGCUCCUGGAAACGGGUGGUAAUGCCGAAUGUGCCCUCCGGGGGAAAGAUUUAUCGCCUUUAGAGCGGCCCGCGUCUGAUUAGCUAGUUGGUGAGGUAACGGCUCACCAAGGCGACGAUCAGUAGCUGGUCUGAGAGGAUGACCAGCCACACUGGGACUGAGACACGGCCCAGACUCCUACGGGAGGCAGCAGUGGGGAAUCUUGCGCAAUGGGCGAAAGCCUGACGCAGCCAUGCCGCGUGAAUGAUGAAGGUCUUAGGAUUGUAAAAUUCUUUCACCGGGGACGAUAAUGACGGUACCCGGAGAAGAAGCCCCGGCUAACUUCGUG